GUCUACGGCCAUGUCAUCCCAAACAAGCCCGAUCCCUUCUGAUCUGGGAAGCUAAGCAGGGUCGGGCCUGGUUAGUACUUCAAUGGGAGACCAGCUAGGAAGACCAGGCGCUGGAGGCU
rnacentral:rRNA from 1 species